rnacentral:rRNA from 1 species
GUAGGUGGCAAGCGUUGUCCGGAUUUACUGGGCGUAAAGAGCGCGCAGGCGGUCGUUCAAGUCGCGUGUGAAAGCCCCCGGCUCAACUGGGGAGGGUCACGCGAUACUGAUCGACUGGAAGGCAGGAGAGGGUAGUGGAAUUCCCGGUGUAGUGGUGAAAUGCGUAGAUAUCGGGAGGAACACCAGUGGCGAAGGCGACUACCUGGCCUGUUCUUGACGCUGAGGCGCGAAAGCUAGGGGAGCAAACGGGAUUAGAUACCCCGGUAGUCCUAGCCGUAAACGAUGGACACUAGGUGUUGGUGGUAUCAACCCCGCCAGUGCCGAAGCUAACGCAUUAAGUGUCCCGCCUGGGGAGUACGGCCGCAAGGCUA